AAACUGCAAUCGAAUCUACUUCAUGUUUUGAGAAAUGGAACUUUUGAAGGAAUGUUGCAUCUUCAGCACAUACAGCUAUCAAGAAAUAAUAUCAACCUGGUUGAAAAGGGUGUUUUUCGAGGACUUUAUGAAUUGGAAGAAUUAGUGAUGGCCUUCAAUAGCUUGAGUGAUAUAUCCAGUUUGUUCGAUGAUUUGAAAAAAUUGAAAGAGUUGUAAGUUU